GCCGGGUGUGGUGGCUCAUGCCUGUAAUCCCAGCACUUUGGGAGGCCGGGGCGGGUGUAUCACCUGAGGUCAGGAGUUCAAGACCAGCCUGACCAACAUGGUGAAAUCCCGUCCCUU
ensembl:misc_RNA Metazoa_SRP Metazoan signal recognition particle RNA